UGUCUCUGCUUCGACUCAACAACAACAUACACAAUUCAUCUUCUUCUUCUUCGUUUGUGUAUUCUUCGGCGAGUCUCUAAUUUUGGGUUUUCAAAACCGAUGAUCAUCUCGUUCCUAUUCUUCUAGGGUUUCGUUCCUAUCCUUCUAGGGUGUGUGUGUUUUGAAAGCAAGUUUAUCAUCUGAUUAUCGCUCCCCCGGCCUCUGGGUGAUUUUGGAAGCGUGGCUUCCGUCUCAACUUCUUCUAGGGUCAGAUUGUGGUGUAGUAUUGAUCGAUCGGUGAUUGAGGAAGAGGGUACUAAGAUCCCUCCCUAAUGGUUUGAUUGAGGAGGAGGGUCUUCUUUUGGAAUUACUCCUGAACAGCAAGCUUUGUCAAAGGAUGGAUCGCAACUAGCAGCAAUAUGAAGGGACGUCCUCAAGGAUUGUCAAAUUUGCUCUAGACUAGCAGAGAAAGGCAUCAGUGGAGAUGAUGAUGCUGACUUGCUAAAGCGCAAGACCUUUUGUGGUUUCUGGAGUUGAAAAACCAACGACCAUCAAUAUGUAGGGACGGGUAAGUCAUUGGCUUAAGUUGAUAUGUGACCGGGCUCUUGGACUGCCACUAGAGCAGCCAAAGAGUGUAAACAUGGAGAGGUUACAUGUCCUCCAAAAGGUGAAACUUUGCCACUUCGUGGGGCUCUUAAGCUCUCCCUAAACCACCAGAGCUUGAUCUGGUUCUUUGGCAACAUCUCGUGUAAAGCGUGGGGGAUCACAGGUGGUGGUUAUGCCACUUUUGCCUUUUCAGGCUGGUCCCCAAUCUUUAUGAAGUGGUUGGUGCGUCCUAUUCUAACUGAGCCCGGGAAAGGUCAAGAACCACCCGUGGCCUAACUUUGAUGCUCAUAGCGGAGUGCUGCUUGACUAUUAUCAUCUAACCGAAGCAAGGAUUGCUUGAUUAGGGACUUUGUAGAAACAUGGCACGAAGACGCAGUAGUUUUUUCUCCUCCGCGGUAAUUGUUAAAACAACCCGUUUUUCGUCAGAUCAGUGUUUGAGGUUUCGGUUUCACAAAUCCUUGUGUCGACAUGGGUUACUAUAACAAUGUUGGUGAGAACCCAACAGCGUCCAGCUGGGAAGAUUUUGGAAUUAAUCCUGAACAACUUCAUCAAUCGAGCGAGUGGAGUUGGUGAGAUAUUUUGGAAUUACUUCUGAACAGCAAGGAUACAACAAGAAGCGCGAUAUGGAGGGGCCUCAAGGAUCGUCAUACUUUAUCAGGACUAGCAGGGAAAGGCAUCAGUGGAGAUGAUGAUGAUGAUGACUUGCUAAAGCUCAUGACCAUUUUUGCUUUCUGAGGUUUCUUGCCAUUGAUCUCAUCUGACUUUUGCAGUACCAUCGUUAGCACUUAAAAUAUAAACAAACAGAGGUUUGUCACAGCUUUUCGUGACUAUAAACUGUCUCUCCAGCCUCAAAACUUGAAUGGAGUAAGCAUUGCAUUUCCAGUGGUUCUUAUCACAGCUGCUGUCAGUGACUACAAACAGCAUCCCCAGCCGCUCAAAACUUGAAUGAUGAAUACAUCUGGAGGUACAGGUUUGCACCACUGUAAAUUUGCUUCCCUCGAUAUGAAAUCAGCUUCUUCCCAAUCCGCGUGGUUUCCAUGGCCGUUUCUUCUUCAACGAGCAAAAGGAUAUGGUGCCAAGUGAGGAUCGGAGGUUGUUUGUUUCCAUAGUUGGUGUUUCUUCUUCUGAUUUGACCGACGACCAAGUCAGAGAGAUGGAUUGAAGAAGACUCAAGACUAAUUAAGUUAACUCUGUUUUUCUCUGUUUCUUCUUUUUACUUGGAUUUUGAGACUUACCAAGUUAUACUAACCUGCUUCUGAUGCUGUUUUCUCUGUCUCGUUUCAGCUGAUUUUCUCUUUCUCUAUAUAUAUGGUGGUGCACUUCCUUCCCAUUACUGUUAAGGAUGAUGCUGAAUUAUGGACCCAAGAGAUGGCAAAGAAAUCCUCUUCUUAUUGCUCUGUGCUACUGAAGUUGGAACUCGACAAGACACUAGAAUUCAACGCACCAUCCUUUCAACUAAAAGGUACUUGUCAUUGCCUCAUGCCAAGAAUUCCCUUCCACAGAUGUGUGUUUGUGUGUUCCUGCCAGAUUUUUUGGAGGAUGAAGUAGAUUCAGACCGAAAAUGAUAUCAUGGCUAAUGCAGGGAGGCUUCAGGUAAUCUUUCAUCUUUGAAAGUCAUUAAAUUGGCAAUCAGGUUCCUCCAAAGGCAUCAGUGGGGAUGGUGAUGACUUGGUAAAGCCCAAGACCAUUUAUGGUUUCUGAGGUUUCUUUCGGUUGCUUGCCAUGCAUGAUCUCACUUUGAUGGUUGUUGCAGUAUUGUCUUUAGCACUUGGAAUAAAAAAAAAAAAAAAGAGAGGUUUGUUUUCACAGCUGCCAGUGACUACAAACAGCCUUAAAACUUGAAUGAUGAAAAAAGACACUUUCAUCGGGAGACGUGGAAGACGAGUGGCAAUUUCAAUCUAUGAUGCCGUACCUUCCAACAUUGGAAAUCAGGUAGAUUAUUCUCUCUUUUACAUUUUGUUUUUGUCUAAUCGAAAUUAUAGUUUAUCUUUAGGUUCCUGCGGGUGGAGUACUGAUCUCUAGCCAUUCUCUUCCCCUUGAUGAGUCUAGCAUGACUGGAGAGAGAAAAAUCGGUAACAAAGACUCUAACAAGGACCCAUUCUUAAUGUCUGGCUGUAAAGUGGCAGAUGGAAAUGGUGUUAUGCUGGUAGGAUAUCUCUCACUACUUUUUGUCCAGAGGGAGGCAGAAAGGAUUAAAGGAUCCAUGUAGACGAGGAGUCAAACGAUUCAGUUCAGCUGUGUUAAAAUGCUGGUGUCAAGGUCCGUAUGGUGAUUGGUGACAUUAUCCAAACUGCUAGGGCUAUUGCUGUGGAAUAAUAACUUCAGAUGCAGAUGCCUCCUGGCCUACUCUGCAUCUGGAAUAUGAUACAUCUAUUCCUAUUGUUUGAUCCCAAUGACAUAUGCUGUGAUGGUAGCUUCUUUUAUAUAAAAUAAUAAAUCCCUUCAUUAGAGGUCUAGUGAGGAUGCAAAGGAGGCAUGCUCCAUUUAUAUUUAUUGGCAGAGAGGGAUGGAUUUUUAUUUGCAGUUUUCUCUGACACCUGUGGUGUUUUUUUGUUUCUCGGACACCUGAUUUUUAUGGGGUUUUGUAGAGAGCGUUGUGCCAUGGAUGCCACUGAGGGAAGCCUACGCUGGAUUGUAGUUAAUGAAGUUUUCAUGGGACGCAAUUUCUUUGGAGUUGACUGAAGUGUCUGUCAAUUCUUUUCAGUAUUGGAGGAUAGCUUUGAUCUGCCAGUCGUACCUUACCUUCUUUCUGUUUUUUCUGUGGUUCUUACUUGCUUUGCUUUUCUUUGGUUCAUUGUUUUACUUGAUGCAGGUCUUAACACUAUCGCUAUAUUUGACAAAACUCUUGAGGGGUCAUGUCCUUUACAACUGCUAAGUAUGUCCUCUGAUACAGAAGG